rnacentral:lncRNA from 1 species
CUCUGACUUUUUUUUUUUUUUUUUAAAUUUCUGGACCUAAUUUCUGCUUAGCCUCCAUCAUUUUCAUUAGCAAUAGGUUAAUUUCUGCUUUCUUCUGCCAACUCCAUUCAGCUACUCCCUUUCCUCUUUCCCUUUACUCUACAGCAUCAUUCCCAUUUGCAGAGACAGCGCCGCCCCUCCUCUCCUCUGCCUUUCCUUUUUUUUUAAAAAAAAUUUCUGGACCUAAUUUCUGCUUAGUCUCCAUCAUUUUCAUUAGCAAUAGGUUAAUUUCAGCUUUCUUCUGCCAACUCCAUUCAGUUGAACCCGUUUUCUUUUUAAAGCUUGGUGAUUUUCCUCUUUUCCUUUGAUUUUGCUUUUCUCGUUGGCUUGUGAAGGCCACCAAAUUUCUCAUUUUCUCUUAAAUGUGGUCUCAAACAAGCUUUUCUAUUCCAAACGUGGGCUCAAACGUGCUGCACUGUUUCGGUACAUUUGGUUCUUGCAAGGAAACAAAUAAAGCACAUGUGCC